UUGUUUACUUUCCAUUUCAGGUUUACUUACAAACUACCGACACUGUACAAUGUAGCAUUCAGUGACGGUAGGCGACGACGGUGCAGUUUCUGUUGCUUCCUUCGCUGCUGGUGUGCUCGUGUUUUAAUUUCAAUAAAAUUAAACUUCCACAGCUUUA